GUGCGUGGGACCUGAAACCAGGCCCGCGUGCUCCAGCUACGACGCUCCGUGCGCGGAAGCGGAAGUCAAAAGGCGAUGGGCCUCUGGCCACCAGGCAACUGUGAUUCCUCUAAAAAACACCACCUAAAUUCUCACACUUUUCCGUCCUCGUAUCAUUUCACUUGUACCAAAAGCGAGGGGCUAGCAAAGAGGUUUUGUAGUUGGUAGCGCUUUGGACGUG
rnacentral:lncRNA from 1 species